rnacentral:rRNA from 1 species
AGAUAUGAUCCAGAGUACCACGGGACACGUGAAACCCUGUGGGAAGCAGGAGGGACCACCCUCCAAGGCUAAAUACUACCUAGUGACCGAUAGCGUAUAGUACCGUGAGGGAAAGGUGAAAAGAACCCCGGGAGGGGAGUGAAAUAGAACCUGAAACCCUGCACUUACAAGCUGUGGAAGCACAUUUCUUGUGUGACCGCGUACUUUUUGUAGAACGGGCCAACGAGUUACGUUAAGUAGCAAGGUUAAGCACUUAAGGUGCGGAGCCGUAGCGAAAGCGAGUUUUAACUGAGCGUUCAGUUACUUGACGUAGACCCGAAACCGGGCGACCUACCCAUGAGCAGGAUGAAGCGAAAGUAAAAUUUCGUGGAGGUCCGAACCCACGAGCGUUGAAAAGCUCGGGGAUGACUUGUGGGUAGCGGUGAAAUUCCAAUCGAGCCCGGAGAUAGCUGGUUCUCCCCGAAAUAGCUUUAGGGCUAGCCUCAAGGUGAGAGAUACGGAGGUAGAGCACUGAAUGUCCUAGGGGGUAUUGCACCUACCGAAGACUAUCAAACUCCGAAUGCCGUCAUCUUAUACUUGGGAGUCAGACUGUGGGUGAUAAGAUUCAUAGUCGAAAGGGCAACAGCCCAGAUCGUCAGCUAAGGUCCCUAAAUGUAAGUUAAGUGGUAAAGGAUGUGGGAUUGCACAGACAACCAGGAUGUUGGCUUAGAAGCAGCCACUCAUUCAAAGAGUGCGUAAUAGCUCACUGGUCGAGUGAUCCUGCGCCGAAGAUUUCCGGGGCUAAAACUUACUACCGAAGCUACGGCAUCAGUAAUGAUGGGUAGGGGAGCUUCCCAUACGGGUUGAAGCAUGACCGUAAGGACAUGUGGACAGUAUGGGAGUGAGAAUGUUGGCAUGAGUAGCGAGAUGUGGGUGAGAAUCCCACAGGCCGUAAAC